UACGAGGGGUGCAAGCGUUGCUCGGAAUUAUUGGGCGUAAAGGGUAGGUAGGUGGUCUCAUUUGUCUGGGGUGAAAGCCUUGAGCUUAACUCAAGAAGUGCCCCAGAAACGGUGAGACUGGAGUCCUGGAGAGGGUCGUGGAAUUCCCGGUGUAGCGGUGAAAUGCGUAGAGAUCGGGAGGAACACCAGAGGCGAAAGCGGCGACCUGGACAGGUACUGACACUCAACUACGAAAGCGUGGGGAGCAAACAGG
rnacentral:rRNA from 1 species